GCUGCUCACCUGGCAGCUCACCACACCAGUUCAUGCAUAUCCCCAGCAGCUACAGCUGGUCCACGCAGCCCCACCGGUCAAUCCUCACACUGACCGCAUGUACCCAGCCAGACUGCAGAGUUAUGAGGAGGCACGUGUGAGGACCUCAUCUAUGAUGGAAGAGGGGAACCGCCAUUCCCUAAAGAAUGAGGACAUCUUGGAUGCCCUGGAUACACAUCUGAUGGAAUCCUGCACCUCGAGGAGACCAUUCGGCCCAUUGUACCAGGACCAACUCGAUGAAGGAGGGAUCUGCCAUCAGCAUUGGCUCAAGGUGUUCUGAUGCUCAUUGUUGGCAGGGCCCACAUCCUGUAAUCCCAGCCUUGCACCCUCUUCCCACGCUGUGUGACUCUACUUGCACCCUUUGUUGCUGUCUCCAGCUUUGGACCCCGUCUCUGAAUGAAAGUAAUGGAGCAGGGUGAAAAAAAAAUAAAGCGGUU